AGGUGUCAGUAACGUUGCUGACAGCCGUUGUGGUGUCAGUGCAAGCGGCUCAACUUGGCUAUGGAUACUCGGCGCCCCAGAUUGCAGAUGAGAGCUCGCUGGAAACGAGUGUAGAACGAACUGUGAAUAAUAAUUAUCUCCCUCCUCUUGGGAGUUCUGAGUCAUCAGAAGAGUCAUCAGAAGAGUCGUCAGAGGAAUCAAGAGAAGUUUUCGCGCCAAGGAACUAUGGGUCUCAG
rnacentral:lncRNA from 1 species